rnacentral:rRNA from 1 species
GGCGAGCGUUGUCCGGAUUUAUUGGGCGUAAAGAGCGUGUAGGCGGCCAGGUAGGUCUGCUGUGAAAACUCGAGGCUCAACCUCGAGACGUCGGCGGAAACCAUCUGGCUAGAGUCCGGAAGAGGAGAGUGGAAUUCCUGGUGUAGCGGUGAAAUGCGCAGAUAUCAGGAAGAACACCCGUGGCGAAGGCGGCUCUCUGGGACGGUACUGACGCUGAGACGCGAAAGCGUGGGGAGCAAACAGG